rnacentral:lncRNA from 1 species
UUUAGAAGGUAGAGUUUGUGAAGAUGAGAAUAUGUCUGGGGUUACAGAUGGUUGAAUUUGUGAUGUUGGUGACAGUGGCAGCAGCAGCUGUGAAGGUUCAGAUGGCGGCUGUUUUGAAGGUUGAGAUGCAUUGUUGUUCAUCGACUCUUUGUUAUCAAACGUAUCCCAAAAGAUUGAGAAUAUGUCUGCUUUUUCUCCCCGAUGAUCAGGGGUUACAGAUGGUUGAAUUUGUGAUGUUGGUGACAGUGGCAGCAGCAGCUGUGAAGGUUCAGAUGGCGGCUGUUUUGAAGGUUGAGAUGCAUUGUUGUUCAUCGACUCUUUGUUAUCAAACGUAUCCCAAAAGAUUGAGAAUAUGUCUGCUUUUUCUCCCCGAUGAUCAGGGGUUACAGAUGGUUGAAUUUGUGAUGUUGGUGACAGUGGCAGCAGCAGCUGUGAAGGUUCAGAUGGCGGCUGUUUUGAAGGUUGAGAUGCAUUGUUGUUCAUCGACUCUUUGUUAUCAAACGUAUCCCAAAAGGUUGAGAAUAUGUCUGCUUUUUCUCCCCGAUGAUCAGGGGUUACAGAUGGUUGAAUUUGUGAUGUUGGUGACAGUGGCAGCAGCAGCUGUGAAGGUUCAGAUGGCGGCUGUUUUGAAGGUUGAGAUGCAUUGUUGUUCAUCGACUCUUUGUUAUCAAACGUAUCCCAAAAGGUUGAGAAUAUGUCUGGUUUUUCUCCCUGAUGAUCAGGGGUUAC